UACGGAGGGGGCAAGCGUUAUUCGGAAUCAUUGGGCGUAAAGGGCGCGUAGGCGGCCUGGCAAGUCAAAGGUGAAAUCCCUCGGCCUAACCGAGGAACUGCCUUUGAAACUGCAAGGCUCGAGGCCGGGAGAGGGUAGCGGAAUUCCCAGUGUAGCGGUGAAAUGCGUAGAUAUUGGGAGGAACACCAGUGGCGAAGGCGGCUACCUGGACCGGUUCUGACGCUGAGGCGCGAAAGCGUGGGGAGCAAAC
rnacentral:rRNA from 1 species